CUUCCUCUGCCAGUGCGGCUCCGAGGGAAAGGGAGCGGCCAGAGCGGCCCCGCCCGGCUUUUAGGCAGGCCACACUGCCUCAGGGUGCAGCAUUCUCAUUCAAAAUAAGGCUUAAGAAAGCUUUCGCUUUCCUUCGAUACAAGUGGCUUGUUUGCACAGUUGGCUAAGACUCCUCUAGGCCCAUCAUGGGAAGGACCAUUUUCAGUCAUUCCGUCCACUCCAUCGGCAGUUAAUGUAGUGAAAAUAGACUCAUGGAUUCAUCACACUUGGCUGAAGCCUUGGAUACCUCCUGAGAAAAGUCAUGGACCCUCCACUCCACAGCCUGAAGUUCCAGGAGACAACCCUUCAUAUCUCUGAGAGCUCUUAGAAGAUCUGCAUCUGCUUUUCCAACAAGAUCCUCAGGGAAGUAACCACUCAUAAGUCUAAUUUAUAUCCUGGCAUUAACAGGACUAUAACCCUCAACUUUGCUAUAUUUCAAACUCCGAUUAUCUUUUUCAUAGUGGGAAGGGAACCUGUCUCUUCCUAGGAAAAAUGCUGCUAUUUUGUAAACCAGUUAAGUGUUGUUUUAAACAUUGAAGUCAGGAAUCAAUCAAACAAAGGGCUAAAGACCUUCAAGAACCUGGCUCUGUUCUCUCCUAGGCUCAUUUAUAACCAUUUAUAUUUGUUGGCCUCUGGGCUUUUCAUCUUUAACCACCUUGUCACAUUUGUUUCUUAUAGAACCGUAAGGUCACAAAUAAUCCUGCCUCUGGAACCUCGGACGUCCUUGGCUCAUGGGUGCUAUCGUGGACCUCUAGAUCAACCUGCACCCCUGAAAGGCUCCCUUCUGGAGGAAACCUCAACUGCAGGGCCCCUUCUACGCCCCAUUUCAGCAGGAAGUAAUUAAAGAGGAUCGAGAUGCAAUUUUGCCUUGAAAGACAUGGCCACAGCAUUUGGCAUCUCCUCUCAUCAGAUGUGAAACGUAUUUCCCCCAUCCUCAAAUUUGGCCUUGCCUUGUGAAGAACUUUGACAAAAAGAAUGUGCAGAAGUGACAUUGUGUGAUACCUGAAGCUAGGCCUUGAAAGGUCUCCAGGCUUCCAGUUUGUUGUAUUGGAGUGCUGGCCUGAAACCAAUACAAAAGGAAGCCAGUCUAGCCUCCUAGAAGAUGAGAAAGCACACAAAAGCAAAACAAGAUGCUCCAGUGAACAGCAAGCACCAAUUGCCAGACCAUUUUGGACUUUGCAGGUUGAACGAGACAUCUACGUUGGUGGUCUUGGGGACUCCUGCAGGUCAGUAGUCCCCUGGCAGACGGGCCGGACCCCGACAAUACAGUGAAAGACAGAUGCAGCCGGACGUUGUGGCUCACAUCUGUAAUUCAAGCACUUGGAGACCAAGACGGGCGGAUCACCUGAGGUCGGGAGUUCAAGACCAGCCUGACCAACAUGGUGAAACCCCCUCUUAGAAAAAAGAAAGACUGGUUAAGGGAGAUACUGCAAAAAUCUAGUCCAAAGCCGAUGGAAGUUUGAACUAGUUUGGCAGAGGUUAUAAUAAUAAUCAGAGUUAAACAAACCAGUUUGGCCCAGCACGGUGGCUCACGCCUGUAAUCCUAGCACUUUGGGAGGCCGAGGUGGGUGGAUCACCUGAUGUCAGGAGUUCAAGACCAGCCUGGCCAUCAUGUUGAAACCCCAUCAGAAGAAGAAGAAAGAAGAAAGAGGGAUGAGGAGGAGGAGGAGGAGGAGGAGGAGGAAGAGAAAAGGAAAGAAAAAGAAAAAAAGAAAGCAUUCUUUUAGGCCUGGCAUGGUGGCUCACGCAUGUAAUCCAAGCACUUUGGAGGCCAAGGCAGGCAGAUCACCUGAGGUCGGGAGUUCAAAACCAGCCUGACCAACAUGGUGAAACUCCGUCUUUAAGAAAAAAAAAAAAAAAGACAGAUGCAGAGAUGCCUAUAAAUUCCAGCUUGUCUUUACUCACUUCACCUCUGUUCCAUGACCAGUUCUUCUUUCCAUCUCUGGCAAUGCUGACCAACUGUCACCCCAGACACACCACCAGACACAGAGGCAACAGCUUUCCUUGUACUUCCCCACCAUCUCUCCUUCACAGUACAACUUCAGCACCUGGACGUGCUUAGCUUCCCAGAUUUUCCUAUAAGCUACUGGUUCUCUCAUACCAGUGUGUGAAAAGGACCACUGAGUGGUUUCUUUAUCUGAUUCUUCAACUCCUCCUUUUGGACAUCUCUUGAAAUGUGUCCUCACGUUUGUAUAAGGUCUUUUUUUAUUAUGGAUUCCAUAUAUCAUAGUAGUUUUGUUUCCCAGUUGAAUGCUGACAGAUACAGUAACACAACUAUUCAGAAAUGAGAUGUUAAGAAUGAGAUUUUGCUCUGGCAUUCUAUGUGAUCACAGUUUUAUUUUAAGGAUCCCAUAUUAGUUUGCUUUUCUAGCACUAAUAUGGUGCUAGAAAAUGGUGGUGCUGGAAAAUGUCCUUACGUUAUCAAGUACACACAACUCACUCAUUCUUCACCUGGCAUGGAGAAACAGAGGGUAAGAAAAAUCAUUAAAAUCAUUCCUGCCCCUCACUUGCUCCAGUUAUGAAUCCAAGAGGACUCAGAGUAUUUUUACAAAAUAGAAUGGGGGGGCCAGGCGUGGUGGCUCACACCUGUAAUCCCAGCACUUUGGGAGGCCAAGGCGGGUGGAUCAUGACGUCAAGAGAUAGAGACCAUCCUGGUCAACAUGGUGAAACCCUGUCUCUACUAAAAAUACAAAAAAUUAGCUGGGCAUGGUGGCGCAUGCCUAUAAUCCUAGCUACUCAGUAGGCUGGGGCAGGAGAAUUGCCUGAACCCAGGAGACAGAGGUUGUGGUGAGCUGAGAUCGCGCCACUGCACUCCAGCCUGGGUAACAAGAGCGAAAUUCCGUCUCAAAAAAAAAAAAAAAAAAAAAUAGCAUGGGGGAUUACGAUACUAUCUAAAAAGGUAAAUAUCUCCUAUACAAAAAUUAUAUUGAGAAAUGAUAAUUGUGGACAUUUUUUAAGACGAGAAAUAGAGAAAACUAACACAUGAUAUUUUGAUGAGAGAAAAAAAUGUUUAUGGCAUUUGAAGGAAAAUAUGUCAGAAAUAAUUUAAAUAGGUUUCAAUGCCCAUCAAAAAUACCAAAAUACCAGAAGAAGAGUUUGUAGGCAAAUGUAACCUUGAGAGGUAUAAAUUAGUAAAAAAGAAAAAAUUUUCUGUAAGACAAAUUCAAAUGUGUCAGGAUGAAAUAAAUGCUAGGCAGUCCAUGCUUCAUAAAAUUGAGCUUUGGACUUCUGAAAGUAUGAGAUGCACAAAAAAUUAUGAUAUUUGUGGUAUACUCCAUGGUAACUACAAGGAGUCUGAAAUUAUAAAAAAAAAAAAAGGCUACGAGACUACAAUUCUGAAAUAUAUAUAUACACAUAUAUAUGUAUAUAUGUUUUUAAGUUUGAUGGAUCAAGUCAAACAAACAUAUGCUAUUGGUUUUCACUUAUUUUAGGUUCUAAAUACUUAACCCUUGGCAAAAGCAGUUGCAAGAUCUAUACUAGUGGUUCUCCAGAGUGACAAGAAAUCACUCUGGGACUUGCUAAAAAUAAACCAUCUGUACUUAUACCCAGAGAUUCUGAUUCAAUAGAUCUUGAACAGAACCAGGAAAUUUGUACUUUCUCAAAAUAUGCUAGGUUAUUCUGACUUAGACAGUCCAAGGUCACACCUUGGGAAACAGUUAUCUGGACCGGACAGAAUCGAAUUCCACUUAUGUAUCAAAAUACAUAAAUGUUAUUUAAAAGUUUUAAAAUAAAACAUAAGGUCCACCAAGCCACUUUGCUAAAGACAAAGAACACUCAACCAUACCAUUUGCUUUUGUCCCCAAGGAAAAUGCAUGUAAGUUUAUUAUUUGUGUGUGUGAAUGUGUGCAUCAACAUCCUGUGAUGAUGACCUUGAUGUGGUUGGCAGCUGUGCCUCAGGCGUGAAAGCGUGAGGGUCUCGAGUUUGCUAGCAGGCCCAGGAAGGUGGCUCCAGACAAAAGCAACAUCUUCUUUCAUUGUGUAUUGUUCAUUCCAAAAA